rnacentral:rRNA from 1 species
UACGUAGGGGGCAAGCGUUGUCCGGAAUUAUUGGACGUAAAGCGCGCGCAGGCGGUUUUUUAAGUCUGGUGUAUAAGCCCGAGGCUCAACCUCGGUUCGCACCGGAAACUGGGAAACUUGAGUGCAGGAGAGGAAAGCGGAAUUCCACGUGUAGCGGUGAAAUGCGUAGAGAUGUGGAGGAACACCAGUGGCGAAGGCGGCUUUCUGGACUGUAACUGACGCUGAGGCGCGAAAGCGUGGGGAGCAAACAGG